rnacentral:snRNA from 1 species
GUACUCCCUGCGGCAGCACAUAUACUAAAACUGGAACAAUACAGAGAAGAUUUACAUGGCCCCUGCACAAGAAUAACGGGCAAAUUUGUGAAUAUAGAAAUAUAGAA